rnacentral:rRNA from 1 species
AUUGAACGCUGGCGGAAUGCUUUACACAUGCAAGUCGAACGGCAGCACGGGGCAACCUGGUGGCGAGUGGCGAACGGGUGAGUAAUACAUCGGAACGUGCCCAAUCGUGGGGGAUAACGUAGCGAAAGUUACGCUAAUACCGCAUACGAUCUACGGAUGAAAGCGGGGGAUCGCAAGACCUCGCGCGAAUGGAGCGGCCGAUGUCAGAUUAGGUAGUUGGUGGGGUAAAGGCUCACCAAGCCAACGAUCUGUAGCUGGUCUGAGAGGACGACCAGCCACACUGGAACUGAGACACGGUCCAGACUCCUACGGGAGGCAGCAGUGGGGAAUUUUGGACAAUGGGCGCAAGCCUGAUCCAGCCAUUCCGCGUGCAGGAUGAAGGCCUUCGGUUGUAACUGCUUUGUUACGGAACGAAACGGCGAGCUCUAAUACAGUUUGCUAAUGACGGUACCGUAAGAAUAAGACACCGGCUAACUACGU